UUGUAGCAAUACAGUGGAAGUUCUAGUGGCGAACGGGUGCGUAACACGUGGGCAAUCUGCCUUAAAGUGGGGGAUAGCUCGGCGAAAGCCGGAUUAAUACCGCAUGUGAUCAGGGGAGACAUCUUCCCAAAAUCAAAGUCGGGGCAACCUGACGCUUUUUGAGGAGCCCGCGGCCUAUCAGCUAGUUGGUGAGGUAACGGCUCACCAAGGCGUUGACGGGUAGCUGGUCUGAGAGGACGACCAGUCACACUGGAACUGAGACACGGUCCAGACACCUACGGGUGGCAGCAGUCGAGAAUUUUUCUCAAUGGGGGAAACCCUGAAGGAGCGACGCCGCGUGGAGGAUGAAGGUCUUCGGGUUGUAAACUCCUGUCAUUUGGGAACAAUGCUUACGUAUUAACUGUACGUGAGUUGAUAGUACCAGAAGAGGAAGAGACGGCUAACUCUGUGCCAGCAGCCGCGGUAAUACAGAGGUCUCAAGCGUUGUUCGGAUUCAUUGGGCGUAAAGGGUGUGUAGGUGGCGCGCUAAGUCGGGUGUGAAAUUUCGGAGCUUAACUCCGAAACUGCAUUCGAUACUGGCGUGCUUGAGGACUGGAGAGGAGACUGGAAUUCACGGUGUAGCA
rnacentral:rRNA from 1 species